GAUCCUGGCUCAGGAUGAACGCUAGCUACAGGCUUAACACAUGCAAGUCGAGGGGUAGCAUUAUCAAAGCUUGCUUUGGUAGAUGGCGACCGGCGCACGGGUGAGUAACGCGUAUCCAACCUACCCUCCAGCAGGGGAUAGCCCGUAGAAAUGCGGAUUAAUACCCUAUGCGGUCGUUUUGUGGCAUCAUGUUACGACCAAAGACUCGUCGCUGGCGGAUGGGGAUGCGUAUGAUUAGGUAGUAGGCGGGGUAACGGCCCACCUAGCCAUCGAUCAUUAGGGGUUCUGAGAGGAAGGUCCCCCACACUGGUACUGAGACACGGACCAGACUCCUACGGGAGGCAGCAGUGAGGAAUAUUGGUCAAUGGGCGGAAGCCUGAACCAGCCAAGUAGCGUGCAGGAUGACGGCCCUACGGGUUGUAAACUGCUUUUAUGCGGGGAUAAACGACGGCACGCGUGCCGUUUUGCAGGUACCGCAUGAAUAAGGACCGGCUAAUUCCGUG
rnacentral:rRNA from 1 species